rnacentral:rRNA from 1 species
AAUUCCCGGAGUAGCGGUGAAUGCGUAGAUAUCGGGAGGAACACCAGUGGCGAAGGCGGCCUCCUGGGCUGCUCCUGACGCUGAAGGCGAAAGCUAGGGGAGCGAACGGGAUUAGAAACCCCGGUAGUCCUAGCCGUAAACGAUGGAUGCUAGGUGUGGGGGNUGUAGAUUCCCUCCGUGCCGCAGUUAACGCGUUAAGCAUCCCGCCUGGGGAGUACGGCCGCAAGGCUAAAACUCAAACGAAUUGACGGGGGCCCGCACAAGCAGCGGAGCGUGUGGUUUAAUUCGAUGCUACACGAAGAACCUUACCUGGGCUUGACAUACAGGUAGUAGUGAAGUGAAAGCGGAUCGAUCCUUCGGGGAGCCUGUACAGGUGCUGCAUGGCUGUCGUCAGCUCGUGCCGUGAGGUGUCGGGUUAAGUCCCGUAACGAGCGCAACCCUUGCUCUUAGUUAUACGUGUCUAAGAGGACUGCCGGCGGUAAGCCGGAGGAAGGUGGGGAUGACGCCAAGUCAGCAUGGCCUUUAUGUCCAGGGCUACACACACGCUACAAUGGCCGGUACAAUGGGUAGCUAAACCGCGAGGUGGAGCCAAUCCUGUAAAGCCGGUCUCAGUUCGAAUUGCAGGCUGCAACUCGCCUGCAUGAAGUCGGAGUUGCUAGUAAUCGCAGGUCAGCAAUACUGCGGUGAAUACGUUCCCGGGCCUUGUACACACCGCCCGUCACGUCAUGGAAGCUGGCAACACCUGAAGCCGGUGAGCUAACCCGAAAGGGGGCAACUGUCGAAGGUGAGGCUGGUGACUGGGACGAAGUCG